rnacentral:ncRNA from 1 species
GCCUCCCAAAAGGUAACGGAGGCGUGCAAAGGUUUCCUCGAGCCAGACGGACAUUGGUCCUCGAGUGCAAAGGCAGAAGGGAGCUUGACUGCAAGACUCACCCGUCGAGCAGAGACGAAAGUCGGCCUUAGUGAUCCGACGGUGCCGAGUGGAAGGGCCGUUGCUCAAC